UAGACCCUAUGUCUAGAAAGGCGUGCCAGUGGGGACAGCGGUGUUGAUCAGAGGCGCCGCGGGCGAGCGGGAGGCGGCGGCAGGCAGUGCCGGGGCAGCGUCUGUGCCGGUCCCUGAGGCGAGAGGCCCCCUGAGCGGGCGCGGAGCGGGCCCGGCUCUGAGGGAGACCCCGCCGAACCCGAACCCCGAACCCCGGCCCUGCCCCGGUGAGCGGCGGGCGCGGCUGCUGCGUCAGGCCCCCGGGGAGAUCGUUCGUGGCCUCUGCCUGGGGAAUACAUGAAACGAGAAAAUAGUCGAGAAAAUAACACAAACAGCCUCUUCUGGACGUGGUGGUGUCGGUCACGGGCUCUGUGUCACCACAAGUCUGUAGAGCCCCCCUGAGGCAGACACCGCCCGAGGCCCCCGCUCUGGGCAGAGAUGGAGAUUUACCCCUGGCUGUUGUUCUGGAAACUCUUUCGCCUCCUGUGCUUGCCAUGCUGCUUCCCUUCACCCUCUUCCAGAGCCAGGGCUUCUCAGGAGGAUUGUCCUCUUCAUCCCUCCCUGACAAGCAGCUCGUCGUUCAGCUCAUCCAUUUGGUGAAUAAGUUCUGCAGAAACAGAGACAAACAGCCAUGUUGUCCUUGUGCUGAUGUGGGACUGGUGAGACCUCAGGUGGAACUGCACGGAAGAAGUUAAUUUAUGAGAAUGAAGAACCCAAAGCAAAGUCUGAGGUUUGCAUGAGAGAAUUCUAAACAUGCCAAACAUGUUCAAUCCCAUUGGAAGGCAAAGCCUCACUGCUCCAUAGCUGGGAUGUGAAGCGUGACCACUGCCAAGGGCCUGGAGGAGACUGAGAAGUUUUUUGACAUUUUGAUUAAACUAGCAAGGAUUUAUCCAGAAGCUUGCUGGGCCCCCUUUGGCUUUGUCCAAACUCUGCAACACCAAAAUUGGGAAGCAAUUCCAUGCUUCCCUAGGGUGUUCAGAACACUCCAGCUCCACAUUUCUGUAGUGCAAGUUGCAGUAUUCACUUAAUUCUCACUUAAAUGGCAUUUCCAUCUGCCUCCACUGGAGUGAUGUGUUCCUGCUGCUGAACUGAACUAGGUGAGGGAAGUGUCCAUCUUUAUUUAAUCCCCAGCAAAAAGCUUGACAUGGACAAACUUGGAAGACAGGAGGCAGCUGCACAAAUGGGAAGGAUAGGCCUUAUUUGGGAAAGUGGUCAUGGCAAAAUGGGAGUUUUAUCAUAGGAGAUUCAGGAAUUUCCUGACUUUGUCUAUUUCUGAGGGUUCAUCCUGACUUGUGCAUAGUAUCCUAAGAAAUCCAGGGAGAUCUAAUGACAAGAUUAUUCCCAGAGGCAGAUUGUACCAGUCAGGUACCACCUGACUACAGACCUGUUCAAGCUCUUCCAGUGUCACCACAUCCAGGAUAUUGUAUGGAACGUAACCAGCCUGGCCACUCCGGUUGAGCAACUUCCACCAUUGUUUAUUAUCUUCCAACACCUGAGAGAGGGACAGAAAUAAAUCUGCUAGUGGGAACAUGGGCUUUCAGGCAUAUACAACCAGGAUACAGUGGGGAUGGACCACCCAGAAGGUGAAGUUGCCAGAAGGACAUCACUGAGGCCAGGAGCUCUGAUUAGAUCUGCUCCUCUUAGAUGAAAUCCAGGAUUGAAACUUUUCCUGGAAGGCAUCAGAAUUUAUCAUAAGGAUGAAGAGGAGAGCACCUCUGGGUGCUGAAGAACUCAUGCUUGCUAUGUAAUGUCCCUG